rnacentral:rRNA from 1 species
CAAAGGAAUUGACGGGGGCCCGCACAAGCGGUGGAGCAUGUGGUUUAAUUGAAGCAACGCGAAGAACCUUACCAGGUCUUGACAUCCUUAUGACCUCCCUAGAGAUAGGGCUUUCCCUUCGGGGACAUAAGUGACAGGUGGUGCAUGGUUGUCGUCAGCUCGUGUCGUGAGAUGUUGGGUUAAGUCCCGCAACGAGCGCAACCCUUGAUCUUAGUUGCCAGCAUUAAGUUGGGCACUCUAAGGUGACUGCCGGUGACAAACCGGAGGAAGGUGGGGAUGACGUCAAAUCAUCAUGCCCCUUAUGACCUGGGCUACACACGUGCUACAAUGGACGGUACAAAGGGCAGCAAAACCGCGAGGUCGAGCCAAUCCCAUAAAACCGUUCUCAGUUCGGAUUGCAGGCUGCAACUCGCCUGCAUGAAGCCGGAAUCGCUAGUAAUCGCGGAUCAGCAUGCCGCGGUGAAUACGUUCCCGGGCCUUGUACACACCGCCCGUCACACCACGAGAGUUUGUAACACCCGAAGUCGGU